UUCCUUUGAGAUCAUUAUUUUCUGAAGAUUUAAUUCAUUAUUUUCAAUGUGGUACAUACGGGUGGGGAUAAAAAGGAGAAAGGAAUAUAGUUGAAGGCUGUGUGAUCUGCCAUGUGCCAUGUGAUCCUCCCUGCAAAACCACAAAUCUCCAGUAAAAUCUGUAAAGAAAAAAAAAAUGGUCAGAUAUGGAGCCCUGCAGGGAGGAAGUCAUGGGAUCUGCUCGGGACUUUGAACUUGGCCAGAAAAUCCUGUUUUCUCUUGGCGACUGACUUCUCCACACACUACUUUUCAACAUAUUCAUAAUCACACAAGGAAGAAGGCAAGACUCUAGUACUUUUGGGUGCUCAAAGACACUUUUGGGAGAAACAUAUAUAUUAACUUCCUCUU
rnacentral:lncRNA from 1 species